UACGUAGGGUGCGAGCGUUAAUCGGAAUUACUGGGCGUAAAGCGUGCGCAGGCGGUUUUGUAAGCCAGAUGUGAAAUCCCCGGGCUUAACCUGGGAAUGGCAUUUGGGACUGCAAGGCUCGAGUGCGGCAGAGGAGACUGGAAUUCCUGGUGUAGCAGUGAAAUGCGUAGAUAUCAGGAGGAAUACCGAUGGCGAAGGCAGGUCUCUGGGCUGACACUGACGCUCAUGCACGAAAGCGUGGGGAGCAAGCAGG
rnacentral:rRNA from 1 species